rnacentral:lncRNA from 1 species
GGGGGUCCCCGCAGCCGGCCCCGAGGCCCACGCCCAGACGGUCCUCAGCCAUCCCUCUCACCCGCCGAGCAGCACCUAGAGUCGCCGGUUCCCAGCGCCCCGGAGGCCCUGGCGGGCGGUCCCACCCAGGCGGGUUGUGCGCGUCUGUGUUUGGCUUGUGUGUCUGGCGUCAGUGUCUGGGAAUUGAAGACCAAGUCUCUGUGGGGUCUGUGCGGUGCAGGCGGUGGGUGUUGCUGGCAGCCUGUCUCAGCCCUGUGUGUGUGUGUGUGUGUGUGUGUGUGUGUGUAUGCGCACGCCUGUUGGGUCUGAGGGGCUUGUCACUGAUCGGCUGGCUCAUGUGUGUCAUGUGGCUGCGUGUGUGUAGUGUUUAUGUCAGUCACGUGAGACCAGUGUUUUCGGUGGGUGCUGGAGGUGUGUGCGCUGGGGCUGUGCGUCUGGAGUUGUGUGCUGGCAGUUGGUGCUGGUGCUCCAGGGCUGGGGAGGAGGGCAGCUGAUGUCUGCUGCCCUGCUGGUGGCCUGCGUGUUGUUGCCGGGAUGUGUGGUGAUGCUGCUGAUGACAUGUGUGCUUGAUUUACAUGUGU